rnacentral:rRNA from 1 species
AUGAACGCUGGCGGCGUGCCUAAUACAUGCAAGUCGAGCGAACAGAUGAGGAGCUUGCUCCUCUGACGUUAGCGGCGGACGGGUGAGUAACACGUGGAUAACCUACCUAUAAGACUGGGAUAACUUCGGGAAACCGGAGCUAAUACCGGAUAAUAUAUUGAACCGCAUGGUUCAAUAGUGAAAGACGGUUUUGCUGUCACUUAUAGAUGGAUCCGCGCCGCAUUAGCUAGUUGGUAAGGUAACGGCUUACCAAGGCAACGAUGCGUAGCCGACCUGAGAGGGUGAUCGGCCACACUGGAACUGAGACACGGUCCAGACUCCUACGGGAGGCAGCAGUAGGGAAUCUUCCGCAAUGGGCGAAAGCCUGACGGAGCAGCGCCGCGUGAGUGAUGAAGGUCUUCGGAUCGUAAAACUCUGUUAUUAGGGAAGAACAAAUGUGUAAGUAACUAUGCACGUCUUGACGGUACCUAAUCAGAAAGCCACGGCUAACUACGUG